GUACUGUACUAUAUUUAGCUGCUAGCUGCCCAAGGACGUCUAGCUGUACUGAUGAAGAGUUUAAACGAAGAAGAAGGAAAUAUCUCUGCUCUGAACCGUAGGAUCAUGCUACUGGAGGAGGAAUCCAAUAAAGCUGAGCAAAAACUUGGAGUUGUUAUUCUUGAUCUAGCGAAGACGAGUAAAAUAGCUGAUGGUAUUCUU